rnacentral:rRNA from 1 species
UACGUAGGGUGCGAGCGUUAAUCGGAAUUACUGGGCGUAAAGCGUGCGCAGGCGGUUUUGUAAGCCAGAUGUGAAAUCCCCGGGCUCAACCUGGGAAUGGCAUUUGGGACUGCAAGGCUGGAGUACGGCAGAGGAGACUGGAAUUCCUGGUGUAGCAGUGAAAUGCGUAGAUAUCAGGAGGAAUACCGAUGGCGAAGGCAGGUCUCUGGGCUGACACUGACGCUCAUGCACGAAAGCGUGGGGAGCAAACAGG